rnacentral:rRNA from 1 species
GGAGAGUGCAAGCGUUAAUCGGAAUUACUGGGCGUAAAGCGCGCGUAGGUGGGUGCUUAAGUCGGAUGUGAAAGCCCUAGGCUUAACCUAGGAAUUGCAUUCGAUACUGGGUACCUAGAGUAUAGUAGAGGGAAGUGGAAUUUCCGGUGUAGCGGUGAAAUGCGUAGAUAUCGGAAGGAACACCAGUGGCGAAAGCGGCUUCCUGGACUAAUACUGACACUGAGGUGCGAAAGCGUGGGGAGCAAACAGGAUUAGAGACCCUGGUAGUCCACGCUGUCAACGAUGAGAACUAGAUGUUGGGGGGGGUUGCCCCCUUAGUAUCGAAGCUAACGCGUUAAGUUCUCCGCCUGGGGAGUACGGCCGCAAGGUUA